UACAGAGACUGCAAGCGUUAUUCGGAUUCACUGGGCGUAAAGGGCGCGUAGGCGGCCUUCUAAGUCGAGCGUGAAAUCCCCGGGCUCAACCCGGGAACUGCGUCCGAUACUGGAAGGCUUGAAUCCGGGAGAGGGAUGCGGAAUUCCAGGUGUAGCGGUGAAAUGCGUAGAUAUCUGGAGGAACACCGGUGGCGAAGGCGGCAUCCUGGACCGGCAUUGACGCUGAGGCGCGAAAGCCAGGGGAGCAAACGGG
rnacentral:rRNA from 1 species